rnacentral:tRNA from 1 species
GCAUCGGUGAUUCAGUGGUAGAAUGCUCGCCUGCCACGCGGGCGGCCCGGGUUCGAUUCCCGGUCGAUGCC